rnacentral:lncRNA from 10 species
GGCGCCGGGAGGCAGAGCUGACUCCCGCGGGACUCUACCGGCCUGCGAGCGUUCGUCACGUGCUCGGUGGCUGAGGGGCCGUCCCGGCCGGGCGGGCUUCACCGCGUGGGCGCGGCAGUCGCCACUCACCGAGGUUGACGACCUUGAGCGCCGUGAAGAAGCGGUUCUGCCGGGCCAGGUCCUGCCAGGGAGCCUUGGAGCAGUGGCGUGGGUUCUCACUAUGUUGCUUAAGCUGGUCCAGAACUCAAGCCAGUCUCUCACUUCAGCCUCUUGAGUCGUUGGGAUUACAGAAGCCACCAUGUCCAACUAGACAAGAUCUUGUUGCCCAGGCUGGUCUCAAACUCCUGCGUUCAAAUGAUACUCUCGCCUUGGCCUCCAAAAGUGUUGGGAUUGCAGACCUGAGCUACUAUGCCUGGCUGAAUUCUAUUUCUAUUGGAUUGGUUGUAAAGAAGUGCAUUGUAGCCUGCAAAGGAGCAGGGCCAGUGGGGUGGAGAGGGCAGAAGUGCUACAGAGGCCCCUGCUCUCCACUGCCCUGACUGCUACUGUGCUGGAUGCCGUGUGAACCACAGCUGCAUCUGGAGGCCUUGGGCAGGCUUUUCCAAUUUGGAGGCACAAAUAAGUGAGAACUUGGGGAUCCACUGAGGUCUGAGGCACGGUGGUACCAGAGGAGAUGAAGGGGCUUUCAGCAUGAAGCUGGUCCCCUGUCGACAGCACGCUGAUUUUCCCGUUGGGCUCUAUCAGCAUGUCCACUGUGAGGCUUGCCUCCACUUUUUCCAGUGCCCACAUUUACCUCUCAGAGUGCAUCAACAAUCGUCAGGACGUUGGAAGGUUCCAAGACAUCUGCAGAAAGCAUGGGGCUCCACCAGCCUGGCCGAUGCACCCCAGAGAUUCUUGUCUACCAAACCAUGCUUGUGAAAAUACCAGGACGGUAAAUUAGUGAAUUCCAAAGUCAGGAUUUUUGUUGGAUCUGGCACAGUCACAGGAAAGUCUGAGUUUUCUCAAGGGCAUCCCUGUCUCACCGAGGGGCACCAAGGACAGACGACCAGAAGCAAAUGGCGCAGUCACCGUCAGAGGAGAGUAAAACUCAUUCUGAAACGGUUCCAAAUGCCCAUGCCUGCUCUGUGGUUUUCAGCAAAGCGGACCUUUCCAAAAGACCUCCAACAGGGACUUCCUGGAUGUGAGAACACUAACCAAUUCUCGUUCCUCUCAUCUUUUGCUUUAUUCCUUCCUUCCAUGCUGUUAUUGCGAAAAACUGGUAGUUAAAUUCAAUUGAUUCAAAAUAUUCGGGAUCCAUAUGGCCGCCAACCCUGGAGCUGAAGCGGCGAUAGCGCCUCACUGCUGUUUUCAAGCAUUUGCCUCUCCUCCAGUCCCCAGAUGGUGGGAGUAACAUUUAAACCUCCUUUUCUCUGCCUUGUACAAUAGACCUUGGCACCAUUUCAACUGUUUACUCCGGUAAUUAACAGCUCUGAUACCACAACAAUUACAACUCCUACACUCUCACCACAAUAAUGCUAUGAAUUAGUGAGAGCUAAUGGCUGGAAGGUAGAGUGUUUCCAGACUGUGGGAUCUGUGCAUUUUUAGAAUAAAAUAAAAGGUACAAACAGCACGCUUGCAGUAGACAAUGAUUACCUAGUAAUUAGUUUACACAAAGCUUCCUAUUUAAUGGCAAAACGCUGUAAUUAACGUGUGACAGAAAAUCAAAGGGUACUUUGUAAGCAUAUUAAAAAUUAACACUGCAGGCCCAUAGCUUUAUGUACUGAUUAGAAGCAUAUUAAAUCAAUAGGACACACAAACCAACAGCUUGGGUAGCUGAUUAUUAUAGGUCCUCAGAAGGGGUACCCUGGCUUUCAUUUCACUUGGGGAGGCAAUUUUCCUUCUCCUGUCAUCUUCCUCAGGCACAGAGAAACACCUCAAACUCAACCCUGGCAGCUUCAUGAAAAUAACCACUGAACUGGAAGAAAACAUUCUAAGUCAUUCUCAGAGAUGAAGACAAAUAUGUAAAUGAUUAAGACUUUCCAAUGAUUGUGGUGACGUGCUGCUACACUAAUUAGAAAAUACACCAACUGGAACCAGAAAAUAAAGCCACUGGGUUGCAAUCUUCCGGUCAGAAUAAUCUCUACUUUGUCAAGCCUCUUUAUUCAACUCAUAGAAAGUUCAAAUAAAUGGAACUGUUUUAUAUUUCUAAAUGAUAAGAAAGCAGGCUGCUAUGAAGACUUAUUCUUUCCAAGGCACUGUCUGGGUAAAGCAUAGGCUGGGAACAACUGGAUCAACCAACAUUCUGUAUCUUCAACAGCCACAACCCCAUAUAAUGAUGGCUGAUGGACAUAGACAGCAAUAUCCUGGAAGCCUACCAGAGCCUAAAGAACCUUCUGAAUCACCAAAGAAAGAUUAAGUUGUAUGUACUUGUUCAAUGUUACCUGUAUUUUGUUAUAAUACAAUUUUAUGGUAAUAAUAACAACAAUAAUAAUAGGUAGCAUUUCUUAAAGUCUUAUUAUGUGCUAAGCACACUGCUAGCCAAUUCAUAGAAUUAUCUCAUUUACUUGUCACCACUUCCCCAUGAGACAGGUACUAAUCUCUCUUUACAGAUAGAGAAAGGGAGACUUGGAGAGCUGAAGUAAUUUGCCUAUAGUUAUCCCCCAGGGAGCAUGGGAGUCUAACCUAGGUGUCCCUGGCUAUGGAACCCCAGGAAGCCAAACUACCUCUUAGUUACCCUGAAUGACUAGCCUGUUCCAACACUCAUUCUGCUUAAAAGGCAGUUUACUAUGUCAACCUGGAAUAGGAGACUAAAAAAAUUAAAACAAAAACAAAAUAUUUGGUUGCUUAUUUUUUUAAAAAACAGGGUGUUUCUGCUUUUAGAGAUAGGAGUCUUGUUCUGUCACCCAGGCUGGAGAGUGGUGGUGCAGUCAUGACUCAUUGCAGCCUCAAACUCCUGGGCUCGAGUGAUCCUCUUUCUUCAGGCUCCUAAGUAGCUGGAACUACAGGCACACACCUAAUUUUUAAAUUUUUUGUAGAGAUAGGGUCUCACUAUAUUGCCCAGGCUGGUCUUGAACUCCUGGCCUCAAGCCAACUCCCACCUCAGCCUUCCAAAGUGUUGGGAUUACAAAAUAUUACAGGAGUGAUCGACUGCACUGGGCUAAAAACAAGGGUUUUAAAUGCUUACCAUAUUUUUAAUGCUACAUCUGAUUGUGAAGGUGGGCUACUCAAAGCUUUUUGGGAAUUUACAGGCUCACUAAAAUGAUCACGAUAGUGUAUUAAAUUGAGAAAGGCAUUGAAAAUCUGUCAUUCCCAUGAACAACCAAAGGGUGAUGUCUAAAAUUCUCUCUCAUCACCCAUGCACAUAACCAGGUAUAUGAGGCAGUUGGGUUGCAAGAGCUGAAUCCUAGAAACUCCUAGGCAGGGCUCCUCCUCUCCAGCUCUGAGGUGUGUGUAUUGAUGGCCCCCUACACCUCCCAGUUUGCUGCCUUGUGGGAAAAGGAGACCAGCUCUUCUGUUAUCUAGGAAAGGGAAGAAAUUUGAGAGCAGUGGCCUCUGUGUUCCAGGAAUAUUUGCGUUUCCCACAAAUCUCUGGAAAGCAGAAAGCUUGCCACAAGGGCAGCACACGGUAUGAGUCACAAAGGCAAGGACCUGAGGGAGAACACUUCCCAGGACUUUCAAAUAAGGUCUUUCCUAAAUGUACUUGGCUCAGUGUGGCAAAAGCACUGGGCUAGCAGCAGUCAGAUGUGGGUUCAAAGCAAGGCACAAUCAUUUAUUAGCUAUAAAUUUGGGCAAGUCACUUCUUGAGAAUAAGUUUCUUCAUCUGUAAACAGAAGUAAUACCUUCCUUAUAUCUUAAAUUGGUGUGGAAGUAAAUGAGUAAAAACCUCAGGGUUUUUCUGAGUUUAAAUGAGACAAUUCAUGUAACGUGCUUAGCACAAUACCUGGUACCCAGUAGGUACUCUGCAGUAUUUAUUGAUGAUGAUGAUGAUGAUGAUGAUGAUGAUGAUGAUGACAAAGAAAUACAAGGAAAUGUCAACACCUUAACAGUGCAUUCAUAGAUCUACAAAAUGCUUAAUCUCAGUGUUCUGGCAACCACUAAAUACAUAAAGAUAAUCUAAGACAUCAAGAUUUCAACAUAUAAAAAUAAAUAUAAAAACAAGUGAACAAUAAUCAUUUAUAUGUAGUUUCAUGACUGGAAAAAAUAAUAACCUAGAUUUUUUCUUAACCUAGAAAAUCUAGAUUAAAAAAUAAAGAUCUUGCAUUUUUGAUAUAAAACACAAAUAAUAAGGACAUGAAAAAAGAAUAUCCCUUGCUAGUAAUCAAAUAAUAGCAAUGAGAAGCUGGAUUCUUAUAUCUAAAAUAAAAGUGCAAAUAGUUCAUAAUAUCCAUUGGUGGUAAGGUUGUGGUAAAACUAGUAUUCUUAUUCUCUGCCAGUUGCUUUGGAAAUUGGUACUAUCUUUUUAGGAAUAUGGCAAUAUGUAACAAAAGCCAUAAAAUAUUCUACUCCUGGGUCUUUCUCCUCGGGAAGUAACUCAACAGAAGCAAAAAGAGGUGUAUACAAAAACCAAAUAUAAAAACAAACAAAUCUUUCCUCCCUCUUUCCUCCCACUGCCAAAAAAUGAAAGCUGGGAAUAGCCUAAAUUUCCAACUUAGUUGAAUUGUUCAAUAUAUUAGAGUUCAUCAAUAUGAGAGAAUAUUAUGCAUCUAAUAAUUGUGACGACUAUGUAUAAACAUGGAAAAUAUUUAAGAUCUGAUGUUUAACUAGCAUAUACACUAUUAUUGUAGCUAUGAGAAAGAAAUACUGCAUAUUUAGAAAUUAAUAUACAAAAAUGAAAACAACUAUGUUUGGGGACAGUGAUUAUGUACUUUUAAAUUUUUUUUAAUCUUGUUAUCUUUAAACUUUUCUAAAAAUGAUGUGAUUACAAGCAAUGGCUCUUUGGGAUCACCUAAUAAAUACCUACUAAAUUCUAGACGGGACAACGAGCUCUGCCAUCCUGCAAUGGCUCCUGUGACCUAGUUCCAGGGCCAUUCUGAAUGGACAGAGGUCUUCACAAUGGAGGUGGAGAUGCAGGGAGCUCUAUGGCAUGAAAUGGUUAAUGAUUCUCUUUUGUAAUUGUGUUUUCUGUUUGCUGCCUUAGUUCUAAAAGGAGGCAAAACAACUGUGGUUUAUUCUACCUUUUCCAGGCAUAGUUCUUCUCCUACCUUUGUGAUCCCCAAAUUAAUAUCAAAUGUCUAAUUAGUUUUUUUCUCCAUUGGUGAUCCCCAAAUUAAUAUCAAAUGUCAGACAAAGUAAAUCAAAGUACAAAUAAAGGUAAAACUGCUCUUGCAAAGGGCUAAAAUAGCAAUGUUUACUAGAAGCAUUCAAGAGCCAGUUCAAUUUCCUAUUUCUCAUUAAGUGGUAAAAUAGUAAUGCCAAGACCACAUCCCAGAAUCUCCAGGGUAACAGAGGCCCAACGAAGGGCUGCAGAGAAACUUGAAAGUAAACUGGCUUAGUUCUUUACACACAGAAAUUGUUCUACAAAGAUCUCUUGCAAAGCAGUGUCACCAGUAGCAUCACUGCCACUAAGCCAAUGUCCCAGGAAUUGAGGAAAGGAAGACACCCUUAAAGAAAAAAAUGGAAAAAAGCCACAAGGACUGGUACCACAGUAAAUGUCUGCCUGGGUCUCCCUAAACUGUCUUAGGUGAGCUUACCCAGGAAUGUUUCUCCCCUACAUGUUUGCCUUCCUUUGUUUAAGCCUUUAUUCCUCCUAAAUGAAAAUAAAUACCCCCGACUGGGGAACGUGGAGUUUGGAGUGUGUGCAAGAGUGUGGAUUCAUUAAAACUUAACGAGCAGAGUACUUAAGUGAAUGAGUUUACUGGAACUUGUUGGGGGAAGUAGGUUUUGUUAGCUGGU